GCCUGGCUAGCUCAGUCGGUAGAGAAUGAGAUUCUUAAUCUCAGGGUCAUAGGUUCAAGCCCUACGUUGGGUG